AUACGGAGGAUGCAAGCGUUAUCCGGAUUUAUUGGGUUUAAAGGGUGCGUAGGCGGUUUGCUAAGCGGGAGGUGAAAUGCCGGCGCUCAACGUCGGAAGUGCCUCCCGAACUGGUGGACUGGAAUGACUCUGCCGUGGGAGGAAUGUGUAGUGUAGCGGUGAAAUGCUUAGAGAGUACACAGAACACCGAUUGCGAAGGCAUCUCAGGAAGAGUUGAUUGACGCUGAGGCACGACAGCGUAGGGAUCAAACAGGAUUAGAUACCCUGGUAGGCCACGCAGUAAACGUUGAUGGCUAACCGCUGGUUUAUUCGGAUCAGUGGCCAAGCGAAAGCGAUAAGCCAUCCACCUGGGGAGUACGACCGCAAGGUGGAAACUCAAAUGAAUUGACGGUG
rnacentral:rRNA from 1 species